GAUUAAAACUCAAAGGAAUAGACGGGGACCCGCACAAGUGGUGGAGCAUGUGGUUUAAUUCGAAGAUACGCGAAGAACCUUACCUAGCCUUGACAUUGAUUGAAUUUUCCAGAGAUGGAGAAGUGCCUUUCGGGGAACAUGAAAACAGGUGCUGCACGGCUGUCGUCAGCUCGUGUCGUGAGAUGUUGGGUUAAGUCCCGCAACGAGCGCAACCCUCGUCCUUAGUUGCCAGCAGGUUAAGCUGGGCACUUUAAGGAGACUGCCUUCGCAAGAAGGAGGAAGGUGAGGACGACGUCAAGUCAUCAUGGCCCUUAUGGCUAGGGCUACACACGUGCUACAAUGGGGCGUACAGAGAGUUGCGAUACCGCGAGGUGGAGCCAAUCUCAUAAAGCGUCUCUCAGUUCGGAUUGAAGUCUGCAACUCGACUUCAUGAAGCUGGAAUCACUAGUAAUCGUAGAUCAGCAAUGCUACGGUGAAUACGUUCCCGGGUCUUGUACUCACCGCCCGUCACACCAUGGGAGUUGAUUUCACCCGAAAUUGGGAAGCUAACCUUCGGGAGGCUACCACUUACGGUGGAAUUAGCGACUGGGGUGAAGUCGUAACAAGGUAACC
rnacentral:rRNA from 1 species